AACGAACGCUGGCGGCAUGCCUAACACAUGCAAGUCGAACGAGACCUCCGGGUCUAGUGGCGCACGGGUGCGUAACGCGUGGGAACCUGCCCUUAGGUUCGGAAUCACUCCCCGAAAGGGGUGCUAAUACCGGUUAAUGUCUUCGGACCAAAGAUUUAUCGCCUUUGGAUGGGCCCGGGUUGGAUUAGCUAGUUGGUAGGGUAAAAGCCUACCAAGGCGACGAUGCAUAGCUGGUCUGAGAGGAUGAUCAGCCACACUGGCACUGAGACACGGCCCAGACUGCUACGGGAGGCAGCAGUGGGGAAUAUUGGGGAAUGGGCGAAAGCCUGAUCCAGCAAUGCCGGGUGAGUGAUGAAGGCGUUAGGGUUGUAAUGCUCUUUUACCCGGGAUGAUAAUGACGGUACCGGGAGAAUAAGCUCCGGCUAACUCCGUG
rnacentral:rRNA from 1 species